UACGUAGGGUGCAAGCGUUGUCCGGAAUUAUUGGGCGUAAAGAGCUCGUAGGCGGUUUGUCGCGUCUGCUGUGAAAACUCGGGGCUUAACUCCGGGCCUGCGGUGGGUACGGGCAGACUAGAGUGAUGUAGGGGAGACUGGAAUUCCUGGUGUAGCGGUGAAAUGCGUAGAUAUCGAGAGGAACACCUGCGGCGAAGGCGGGUUGCUGGGCUGACACUGACGCUGAGGCGCGAAAGCUAGGGGAGCGAACGGG
rnacentral:rRNA from 1 species